CGUACGCGACCGCUUUGCUAACGCUGUUUGUGGCGCGGACAGUGGCGGAUACCAACUAGAAGAAUUAAAGAAAAAAAGUGGAAAUCUCUAAGACAGUAGCUUUGAAGUGGAAAAGUUUAUGGCAAAAGUACUUUUAAUUGUGUGUAUGGUGCGCCAGCGAUAAGCUCAGUUAACUUAAAAAACGCAUAUUAUGUGGCAUAAAACGUGCAACAAAUCACUGAAAUUGCUCGCAUCGAGUGAAAUGCGCUGAAAAUUGUGCGGCAAGGCUUGAAGGCAAAUUAACCGUAAAUUCUGAAAGUGCAACAGUCAUGCAACACAAGUGUAGCGCCAACAGCGGCGAUGAGCAGGCCGGCAUUAUGGAAUGACUGCAAAGUGGAAAUAAAAAAAUUAACUUGAAACAGUGGUGAAACGGUAAAAAUAACAUAAAGUUGAUUAAAAAAAAAUAAAUAAAAUAAAAUGAAUUAUUAAUUAAAUUAAAGUUAGACAGUGUUGUGAAUAAAAUGUUGCACCAGCUGCACACAUACAUAGAAAAAGUAAAUAUAAUUGAAAACAUGCAUUGACAGCGCGAUAAUAAGCAAAUGCAGCAAGGAAAAUUAUAAAAAAAUUUAAAAAAA
rnacentral:lncRNA from 1 species